AGAUGUUGGGUUAAGUCCCGCAACGAGCGCAACCCUCGUUCUAUGUUGCCAGCACGUGAUGGUGGGGACUCAUAGGAGACUGCCGGGGUCAACUCGGAGGAAGGUGGGGAUGACGUCAAAUCAUCAUGCCCCUUAUGUCUUGGGCUUCACGCAUGCUACAAUGGCUGGUACAGAGAGUGGCGAGCCUGUGAGGGUGAGCGAAUCUCGGAAAGCCGGUCUCAGUUCGGA
rnacentral:rRNA from 1 species